UGAAGUUAGUUUUACAUAGCCCAUGUAUCAAGCCCAUACAGGCCCAUCGGUUUGCAUGCAGGCCGGACAAUCAUUGAGACAACAACUACCACUUCGUGUUUGUCUCAAAAAAAAAAAACACUUCGUGUUUGUCUAAAAAAAAUCACUUCGUGUCAUUUUUUCUCCAAGUUAAAAUAGCCCGUAUUGUUCAUCUAGAUAGAACUCUCUUCUCAUGGCGUGCAAUCCCCACCAAGCUUCUCAUCCACAUGCGUCAAUGGUGGGCAUCAGGAAACUUAUCCCCAGUCUGUGCAUGGAUCUCGGCGACCUCGUAGAUGGCGAGGGGGAAUGCGGGAUGCGCUUCUCAAACUUCUCAUGUCCGGAGGCUCGCGGCGGUGGCGGAGGUUCUGGAUCUUGGUGGCGUGGCGGAGGUACUGAGGUAGCUCCCGGAUGGGAGAAUAUCAGCAAGAUGUGACCAACAUCUGUGGGCGGCUGCUUAGUUGUUGCCCUCAUAACUGGUGAUAUUGGACUCCUACCAAAUUUAGCCACCAAGCGACCCGCAGAGAACACAAUCGAUCCCCAACUAUUCGGGCCACUGCCUCUGAGCUCGCCACCCCUGUUUCAGCAAUGUAAGAGGCAUCUACAUCAAGCUUCAGCCAACCAAUCACCGGUCUUUCCAUUUUUCCUCGGGCGCCUAUAUCCCGGCCCUGACAGGAUAAUGUACUCCAUAGAGUUGAUCUCAACCUAGCAAGCGAUUCUUGCAUCCAUUUUUUGUUUGAUAGUAAAAAAGGAGGUUUAAAUGCACAUAUGCUGAGUUGGGUAGCAAAAGCAUCAGCCUCACGUGAGACAUGCAGGUUAGUUUUUAAGUUCAGUAAUUUUACCUGCGGCUAGUCUUCUUGACACAUGGUUUCUUGCCUGGCUUCUGAAAUCUUGUUUUCUAAGGGUAGAGUUUUCAGGCAUGAAUCAAGGUAUGUGCCACGUUUACAAAUGUUGUAGGGCAGUACAUGUAUUUUUUUGUAUGUGUUCUUUAUUCCUGAAUUACGACAACCUUUUGUGCCCACAGGAACCAUAAACUGAUAAAAGUGCAUGCCUUUCAGAAAAUUACAACAUGACAUGCUUUUGAUAGUUCUAAUAUUCACACCCUUAUAAUCUACUACCUCUGUACCAAAAUAUACGAUGUUUUUGUAGUUCAAUUUGAACUGGAAAAACGUCAUAUAUUUUGGUAUGGAGGGAGUAAUAAGUAUCUUUUUAUCCUGUCAAGUACUCUUACUAUAUCUUUGGUAAUGUUUUUGGUGCUGAGUGCCUACAUAUAUGGAGUAAUUAAGAAUAAUUUUAUUAUACAUCAAUGAACAAAAUGCGAGUCACUAUUGAUUCGAGAACUAUCAAACAUAAUGGUUCAUACCUAUCAAGAAGUUCCUAUGUUUCGGUUAUAUCCAGAUCUUUAUAUAUUUUUGUAAUUGGACAUAUCAUUGAAUUUCUACACCAUGGUCGAGGUCACAAUAAGGACAGUUUGGUUGCCGAUUACAUCCUCAGUUAAAAGAUAAGCUAUCUUUAUCUGUAAUGUGACUCUGAUUUCAUCAGAACUAAAGAGUGUAAUUAUAAAAGUUAGUGCUAACCACAUGGCGGAGGUUCAGUUAAAAUUUGGGACAUGCGAAUGCAUGAUGCACUUCCUCUCGUAUUUGAAUCUCAAUCUCAUGGAUAUAUAAAUCUUGUGGGUCCUUUACUUUUAUUCUUGUUUCCACUGGCUUUACUUGAAUAAGUAAUAUGAUGGCAUCUGUAAAUUUGAAUAUUAAAAAUAUAACCAUUAGAAAUUUAAUUAGUUGAAAAUCUUAAUUACAACUAUAAACAUACCUGAGCAUUGUAUAUCCGUUUCUGUCCGUUCUUGUAGUAUGACCAUGGUAGCAAACUCAAAGUUACAAUUUGGAAAAACUCCCCGCGCUCUUUUCAUCUCCUUUACCUUUGUAUUGUAUGCCAAAAUACAUUUUUUGCAAAUUGAUCCUUUUGGUAUGUUGUAUGUCACUGUAUGGCCUGCUAUGGACAUGUCUAGGUAUACUUAUUAAUUUUGUGGUUAUUUUGUAGUAUUUAUUCAUUAGCACUUCCAAUCAAUUACCACAUCUACGUUUGUACAGUCGAGUAAAAAUGGGUUGCUAAGGGCGUCCGAGGAUUUCUUACUCCUGUUGCAACGCGGGCAUGUUUUCUCACUGGGCAAUAUUUCGUGAUUUCCAGAACCUUAAAAUUGUUGAAUGCAUAAAUAUAUAUGCUCAUUGAUCUUUGAUCUUUGAUCUAAAAUUGUCUAUUAGAUUCUUCUAGAUUGUAGUGUGAUUUGUCUGGCCAUACCAAAAGAAACAAUUAAACUUGUUAACAGUUGUUGGAAAUGCGGAAUAAUUUGCAGUUAAAGGAGCAUAAUUGUUCAUCCAUCAAGAUCAUAUCUAGGCUAAUAAGCUCAUCAGUUGUUGGAUUGAAUACAUUCUCAUCACUUACACUUAAAUGUUCCAAUUUUGUCCCCUUGUCAUUAAGUCGCUCAACUUCUUACACGCCAUAGUAUUUUGCCUUCAAAUCAAUAGAAACUUAGUUAUCAAUUGAUAAAGUACAUAUGAAGAUGUUAUCCAGAAUAAGUGAGUUUACUUACAAAACCUGAUGAUUCAGGUGAGAAGUCGUUGGGCAUGACUUUGUUGGAUGUUGAGUUUUAUGCCGCGUGAAGUGGCUGACCUUGCUUCAUCAAACGUUGAGCUACACGGCCCGUGGGGGUUUUUACUUGUGGGGCGUCCUUCGCGCUUCGUCUUACCGGCAUACUUCGAUGUUCUUGGUGGCUUGUUUGAGUUGCCCUUUUUCCUGACUACUACUUCUUGGAUGUCUACUUGUGUGGCUGGUCAUCAAAAGUCGCUCUAGUUCUUGCAGGCCAUAGUAUUUUUCCUUCAAAUCUAUAGGAAUUAGUUGUCAAUUGAUAAAGUACAUAUGAAGAUGUUAUAUAGAAUAAGUGAAUUUACUUACUAAACUUGAUGAUUCAGAUUA